GCCUGUUGCAAGAACUGUAUGGAGAUGGGUGUGGCCGGACUUUUCACUUUAUUAAAGUUGAACUGUUGGGACAAGGAUUCUCUGGAAUCUCCUCAUCUCACCCUCAGUCUAACUCUGGAAAUACCAGACGCUGACGUUUGGGCUUCUUGGGCCUCACUGUGGAGCAGACAAGCGAACUUGUGUUGGGCAACACUUCUGUCCUGAGCUUCUCAAGUGUCCUGCCUCAGGGAACCCUACCCACCUGUGAAUGGCUGCAAGAAAGAAGAAAUUAACACAUCCCCUCCCCGAGGCUGGCCAUUCCAAGAGAUGUUUCGCAAGACUGAUAGUCCUUUUUACUUUACUUCCUCCCCGCCUCUCUCUCUCUAUUCUACCUUUUUACUUUACUUCCCUCUCUGAUUCUAUAAAAGAAACUGGCAUCCAGACCCCAAUAAGAUGGGUUUUUUGGGGACCCUAGUCCGCCAUCUUCUCGGUCUACCGGCUUUCCGAAUAAAACCAUGUUCCUUGCCUCAGCACCUUGCCUCCCGAUUUACUGGCCCAUCGUGUGGCGAGCACAGGGAGCUUGGACUCAGUAACUGGAGGAGAGCUGGUUGUUGUGAAACCGGAGGGAAGGGGGCAGGGCACAACCUUUGAAAACAUGACAUAGCCCGAAGACAUGACGUAAACUGAUUAGAACCAAAUGGGUCCAAGAUGGCGGACAAGUCAACUUCCACUAGACCUUGAGCCUCACUAUACACUCACUGUAACACAGCAGCAAGCUAAAUGACACCACCCACAGGUGCCAUGACAGUUCCGAGACCCACCGUAAGGAUCAAAAAGUGGGCGGUGGCCCAAUUCCUGGAAAUCCCCGCCCCUUCCCAAAAUAGCUGGAAUUCUCCUCUCACUCAUUAGCCUAGGAAAUUACCCACCCCUAUAAAAACUGACAACCCCAUACCCUGGUGCCUUUCUCGCCUUCUGAGAUGGCCCACAGUCUGUGGAGUGUGUUUCUCUCUAAAUAAAUCCACUUCUUAUCUAUC